AUUGAACGCUGGCGGCAGGCCUAACACAUGCAAGUCGAACGAGUGGCGGACGGGUGAGUAAUGUCUGGGAAACUGCCUGAUGGAGGGGGAUAACUACUGGAAACGGUAGCUAAUACCGCAUACCAUCGGAUGUGCACAGAUGGGAUUAGCUAGCAGGUGGGGUAACGGCUCACCUACGCGACGAUCCCUAGCUGGUCUGGGAGGAUGACCAGCCACAUUGGAACUGAGACACGUUCCAGACUGCUACGGGAGGUAGCAGUGGGGAAUAUUGCACAAUGGGCGAAAGCCUGAUGCAGCUAGGCCGCGUGUAUGAAGAAGGCCUUCGGGUUGUAAAUUACUUUCAUCGGGGAGGCGUUACCCGCAGAAGAAGCACCGGCUAACUCCGUGCCAGCAGCCGCGGUAAUUC
rnacentral:rRNA from 1 species